GACGAACGCUGGCGGCGUGCUUAACACAUGCAAGUCGAACGGAAAGGCCCUGCUUUUGUGGGGUGCUCGAGUGGCGAACGGGUGAGUAACACGUGAGUAACCUGCCCUUUACUUUGGGAUAACUUCAGGAAACUGGGGCUAAUACCGGAUAGGAGCUCCUGCUGCAUGGUGUGGGUUGGAAAGUUUCGGCGGUUGGGGAUGGACUCGCGGCUUAUCAGCUUGUUGGUGGGGUAGUGGCUUACCAAGGCUUUGACGGGUAGCCGUCAUGAGAGGGUGACCGGAAACAAUGGGACUGAGAUACGGACCAGAAUCCAACGGGAGGCAGCAGUGGGGAAUAUUGCACAAUGGGCGGAAGCAUGAUGCAGAAACGCAGCGUGCGGGAUGACGGCCUUCGGGUUGUAAACAGAUUUAGCAUGUGACGAAGAGUGAGUGACGGUAAUGGGUAAAGAAGCACCGGCUAACUACGUG
rnacentral:rRNA from 1 species